rnacentral:rRNA from 2 species
CAGUCUGGUGCCAGCAGCCGCGGUAAUUCCAGCUCCAAUAGCGUAUAUUAAAGUUGUUGCAGUUAAAAAGCUCGUAGUUGAAUUUCGGGGUUAGUAGGUUGGUCAUGCCUCUGGUAUGUACUGGUCUCACUGAUUCCUCCUUCCUGAUGAGCCGUAAUGCCAUUAAUUUGGUGUUGCGGGGAAUUUGGACUGUUACUUUGAAAAAAUUAGAGUGUUUAAAGCAAGCUAACGCUUGAAUACAUUAGCAUGGAAUAAUGAAAUAGGACGUUCGAUCCUAUUUUGUUGGUUUCUAGGAUUGACGUAAUGAUUAAUAGGGAUAGUUGGGGGCAUUAGUAUUCAAUUGUCAGAGGUGAAAUUCUUGGAUUUAUUGAAGACUAACUACUGCGAAAGCAUUUGCCAAGGAUGUUUUCAUUAAUCAAGAACGAAAGUUAGGGGAUCGAAGACGAUCAGAUACCGUCGUAGUCUUAACCAUAAACUAUGCCGACUAGGGAUCGGAUGAUGUUAAUUUUUUAAUGACUCA